UGGGGAAUUUUGGACAAUGGGGGCAACCCUGAUCCAGCCAUCCCGCGUGUGCGAUGAAGGCCUUCGGGUUGUAAAGCACUUUUGGCAGGGAAGAAACAGCCUGGGAUAAUACCCCGGGCGACUGACGGUACCUGCAGAAUAAGCACCGGCUAACUACGUGCCAGCAGCCGCGGUAAUACGUAGGGUGCAAGCGUUAAUCGGAAUUACUGGGCGUAAAGCGUGCGCAGGCGGUUCGGAAAGAAAGGUGUGAAGUCCCAGGGCUUAACCUUGGAACUGCACUUUAACUACCGAGCUAGAGUACGUCAGAGGGGGGUAGAAUUCCACGUGUAGCAGUGAAAUGCGUAGAGAUGUGGAGGAAUACCGAUGGCGAAGGCAGCCCCCCUGGGAUGAUACUGACGCUCAUGCACGAAAGCGUGGGGAGCAAACAGGAUUAGAUACCCUGGUAGUCCACGCCCUAAACGAUGUCAACUAGCUGUUGGGGUUUAUUAACCUUAGUAGCGCAGCUAACGCGUGAAGUUGACCGCCUGGGGAGUACGGUCGCAAGAUU
rnacentral:rRNA from 1 species